rnacentral:rRNA from 1 species
UACGUAGGGUGCGAGCGUUAAUCGGAAUUACUGGGCGUAAAGGGCUCGUAGGCGGCCAACUAAGUCAGACGUGAAAUCCCCAGGCUCAACCUGGGAACUGCGUCUGAUACUGGAUGGCUUGAAUCCGGGAGAGGGAUGCAGAAUUCCAGGUGUAGCGGUGAAAUGCGUAGAUAUCUGGAGGAAUACCGGUGGCGAAGGCGGCAUCCUGGACCGGCAUUGACGCUGAGACGCGAAAGCGUGGGGAGCGAACAGG